GCAAGGAAAUCAAAACCUUGGAGCGUCCUGGUCUUUCGCUCGUCGAUCAUGAGGGGCGCAGGUUGUGUUGUCUUUGCUCCAUUACUUCACCUUGCUUCUUCAUACAUAUAUCCUACCUGAAGCUGGCAACACUCAGCACUGGCCAACAGGAGUCAUAAUGCACCUACUGGCAACUUGACCUGGAUAGGGCAAUGGCCACAGGUGAAGGUGGGCAACCCAGGGCACUGACCUGGCUUGGUGCCUGACAGGGCAGGCUGGCAGGAGGCAAGACGGUGUGCAGGAAGGAAAGAACAGAUUGGAACAAUAAACAGGGACAGACAAAUGAAGGAAAGAGGAAGGGAGAAGGAAUGCAAGCCAGGUGUAAGGAAGAGAAUGAGAAAUGAAGAAAAAGAAGAAGAAACUAAGAUAAGAAACCAAAACACUUAACAUUUUGACUCAGGAAGCCUGAAGAAGAGCUUGCCUGCUGGACAGUAACUGGACGCCAGCAGAAGGAAGAAGCUGGCAACACUCAACAAACACUGGCCAACAUGAGUCAUAAUGCACUAACUGGCAACUUGACCUGGAUAGGUCGAUGGGCACAGGUGAAGCUGGGCAACCCGGGGCACUGACCUGGCUCGGUGCCUGACAAAGGCUGGCAGGGGGUGAGACGGUGUGAAGGAAGGAAAGAACAGAUGGACACAAUAAACUGGGACGGACAAAUGAAGGAAAAAGGGGGAGAGAAGGAAGGCAAGCCAGGUGGAAGGAAGAGAAUGAGAAAUGAAGAAAAAGACAAGAGGAAGAGAGAAGAAAGAAGAAAUUAAGAUAAGGCACCAAAACACUUUUAACAUUUUGACUAAGGAAGCCUCAAGAGGAAGAGGAUUGAGACCACAACACACUCCACACACUGGGACAGCGAGGCCACAACCCCUCGAGUUACAUCCCGUACCUACUUGCUGCUAGCUUGCCUGCUGGACACCAACAGGACGCCAGCAGAAGGAAGAAGGUUUGCUGGAGCCUUGCCAAGAGAACCAGCGAUGGAAGGAAGAGAUCAUUUAAAGUUAUCUCACAUUUGAACAUUAGUUUGCUGGAGCCUUGCCAAGAGAACCAGCGAUGGAAGGAAGAGAGAUCAUUUAAAGUUAUCUCACAUUUGAACAUUAGUUUGCUGGAGCCUUGCCAAGAGAACCAGCGAUGGAAGGAAGAGAGAUCAUUUAAAGUUAUCUCACAUUUGAACAUUAGUACAAAUUGGAAGGAGGGGAGGAAUCAUGUUAACCUGUCAAUCACUCCUCAGGUACAAAUUGGAAGGAGGGGAGGAAUCAUGUUAACCUGUCAAUCACUCCUCAGGUACAAAUUGGAAGGAGGGGAGGAAUCAUGUUAACCUGUCAAUCACUCCUCAGGUCCAGCAACGCCCCCAGUUCACCAGUUGAGCGGCCCCACCUGUCACCAGUCUGAACACUAUCUCUCUGGUGACACCAACUCAAUCUUUCAAGCAACAUGAAGAUAUCACUGUUAAGUGCUUCAUGUUCACUCAAGCCUUGCCUAGUGAAAGAAGGAAGACAUUUGAACAUUGAAGAAUGAUGGAGA